rnacentral:misc_RNA from 3 species
AAUUCUCAACCUCACCACUUUUGUAAUGAGAGUGUGUGUUGGCUUGGAUGUGGGGGUUUGCAGGUCCACUCUUUUGUGGUCUGCUCCUCUGAAAUGUAUUAGUGGGUUUGGUCCCCUAAUCUAUUGGUGUGAUAAUUAUCUACGCCGUGGAUUGGAAGACUAUUAUGAACCUGCUUCUAACCGUCCCUUACACGGACAAUACUUGACAU